UGUUCUCAGCUAUAGCGAUGCUUCUGCCUGUAACUUUGCAAGCAAAGAAACCACACCACGUGGCUCUGGUGAAGAGAUGAAGCCAUGCUCCAGCCACAGGCAAAUACCAUCAUCCUUCAUUGCAUCUUCCUGAGAGGUCCUCAGCAGUGAAGAGGUACUGCAGUGCAGCAUUUCCCUGGAUUAUUCUGCCACCCUUGUUGAACCAGAACAUCAAAGGUACAAAUCUUCUGCAAACUUCUGGCCUCAUUUCAGCCAGUUUAUGUGAUAUCUGAAGUACAUUCAGCAGCAAAUUGCACUGGAAGCUGUUCUUUUGUAUUUUCCAUUUAUGCAAUGCAAGUUGGUGUGAAUUUGAAUACAGAUCAGUGAUCUUUUCAGAGUUGCCAUAGGUAAUUAUAUGCAGACAUAGAAUGUCUUCCUCUAGAACAUAUCUAUGGAUGGUCUGCACACAAAACCAAAGCUUAAAUCCCACAGGAACAGCAGUGCUGCCUUUGAACUAAGCUCCAAAGUGCUGAAGGAAGGACAGACACACAGCAAAGGCUUUACUUUGGGUGGGCCAUUUCUAAAUGCAGUUUCCUUCUAUUUAAAAGUUUCAACUGAAUUGGUGCUGCCAGGUUGCAAACAAUUAUUGCCUUUUCCUGUAUUCAUGGCAGACUAAAUCCUACAACCCUCUGAAAGCACAGUCUGCACUUGUAAAUACACCUUUAAAGUGGACACUUUAUUCAACAAGGAAUAAAUAACCCUCAAGCAGGACAUUUCCUUUCCUUCUUUAUGCAAAGGCAACCAUUUAUUUUCUUCCACGAUGUAAGGCCAAGGGACUGCACUCCAGUCAGUAAAUUUGAUAGCAUAACAUAGCGAACAGGUAGCGCUGGCAAAAGAGAAGAAGCUGUUACUUCAGAUAAAUUAAUGUUAGUUUUAUAAAGGAGAUUGAGCUGUAUGAAGCACUAAGGUACGUAGAUCAAAAAAUACAUUAACUUGAGUAUGUACCAGUCUAGUUUCAGGGAUGAUUUGUGUGCCAUACACAAUCAGCUCUGAGAUUAAGAAAAAUAGGUUAGUUAUGUGGGUUGUGGUUAUCCAAGAAGUUGGAGGGUGUUUCUGUGAGACUGUCAGUAAAUUCCUGUGAAGACCUAUUCCUAAUUUAUUAAUUCAAAAUAGUGUCCUUGGCAAGGACCAUGUAUUCUUCAGUAUUUCCAGAGCUCCCUGGCGAUGAUGUUAAUAACAAAUACUUCUUUAACAUUACUUAUUUUUAGUAAAAGACAACACAAACUGUUCAUCCCCAGACAGGAAGAGUUAAUCAGAGUUUUAACAUCAAAGAGUGAAUUUUAUAAUCUCAGAGUUGCAUAUUAGACUCCUUCACUUUAAACUUGUAUUGGAAAGGGAUACUGGGUGCUUGCCAUACUUCUCAGAAUCAGACCCUGAGUAGAAGUCUUGAACUGUGUAUGCGGCAUUUGCUUUGGAAACCCUGUGUAUUCAUCAGAGAUUUUUAUCUGUUUUAAUAUUGAUGUCCUUAAAUGGAUUAAGCUGAAGACAGUAAAAACAUCCCAAUUCAAAUUCUUCAAGUAACUCCCUCUCUUUGUUUUCCCUUUGCUAUUAAACACAGAUAUAGAUAGAACAGGGGCAAAGAAAUUCAAGGUGGAAAUUUUGGCCUUUCAAAGAAGUUUAAAUUUUGGUUGCCUGCUAACUGUCCCACAUUCAAAGGACUGUGGGAACCACCAAGUUUUGGGGGCUGGAAAUCUCAAAUCUCCUUUUAGUAGGAAAAAGCACCACGUUCAGACCCCCUUUGCAUGGGAAGUUUGCUCUAGCCUUCAGUCUCCUGGGACAGGUAAGGAAAUGAUUUUGCAUGUGGCCC